GACGAACGCUGGCGGCGUGCUUAACACAUGCAAGUCGAACGGAAAGGCCCUUCGGGGUACUCGAGUGGCGAACGGGUGAGUAACACGUGGGUGAUCUGCCCUGCACUUUGGGAUAAGCCUGGGAAACUGGGUCUAAUACCGAAUAGGACCACGCGCUUCAUGGUGUGUGGUGGAAAGCUUUUGCGGUGUGGGAUGGGCCCGCGGCCUAUCAGCUUGUUGGCGGGGUAAUGGCCUACCAAGGCGACGACGGGUAGCCGGCCUGAGAGGGUGACCGGCCACACUGGGACUGAGAUACGGCCCAGACUCCUACGGGAGGCAGCAGUGGGGAAUAUUGCACAAUGGGCGCAAGCCUGAUGCAGCGACGCCGCGUGAGGGAUGACGGCCUUCGGGUUGUAAACCUCUUUCAAUAGGGACGAAGCGCAAGUGACGGUACCUAUAGAAGAAGCACCGGCCAACUACGUG
rnacentral:rRNA from 1 species